CCCUCCCGCUUCCCCCUGGCCCAGGCGGGGUGUGGGUGGCCGCGGGGACGGUGGACAUUUUGCGAGUCGCAGCUGCCCCCGGUGCGGCGGCGGCCUCGGGGUGUGUGAGACUGCGCGUGUGCUUGUGUAUGCGGGGGGGGGGAGGGUGCGGUGCCGGUGCGUGUGUGGUGUGUAGGGUGUGUGUGUGUGCGUGGGGGCUGCGGUGCGUGCGUGUUUGCGUGCGUGUGUGCGGUGCCGGUGCGUGUGUGUGGGUACCCUGCCGUGCCGUGCCGUGUGUGUGUGUGCGGGGGGUGCGAGGCCGGUGCGGUGCGUGUGUGUGGGUACCGUGCAGUGUGUCUGUGCGGAGGGUGCGGUGCCGGUGCGGUGCCGUGUGUGUGCGUGCGCGGUCGGCGCGGCGCGGGGGGGCCGUGCGGGGCGCGUACGCCGGGCGGACCCGGCGGGGCGCAGCGCGGGGCGGUCACCGGCAGGGCCGGUCGCCGCCGCCGCACGGCGUAUGUAGUACGGGGCUGGGCGGCUGCCGGAGGGUGAAUGAAGCGAGGAGGAGGCGGCGGCGGGGGAGGCGGCGCUGGCGCUGGGAUGUGCCCGGCAGCAGCCCCGCUCCGCUUUACUCAGGGCCCAGACCGGCUGCAGACGCCACCCGUCACAUUGCAGGCCAAGCCAGAUGGGCAAGCAAUACAAGCUGUGAAUUUAUCCUUGACCCCAUAGGACAGUGACCACCGUCAUUUUUGUCUUCACCGUACAGUUAUGCACUGCCAGUAAGUCAUAGCUGGAUUCUGAGCUUUGCAACCCCAAUGAUCUGCCUGGACAAGCCUUUCACUCCAUGCAGCCUUCUGCUUCUAGCCAUGGGAAAAGACCAUUAUUUCUUCUCUGAAGCUUCUCUGUGGGUACCUGUUUCCCUCACUGAACGUUGGAUUUUCAGUCCGUGGGCCCCUGCAAGUCUUCCCUGGCUUCCAGCUGCAGUGUCUCUUCAGCAGACAUCUUGCUUUUUAGGCUUGUCAGCUGAUCUCUAACAAAUCAGUAGCAUCUAUUUGUUUGUAAAAUGUUAUGUGCUGGCAUUUUUAAAAAUACAAAAACAAUGACAAAACACAAACCCAAAACUCAUUCAGUUACUUUCUCUGUACCUGAGCAUGAACUAGGAGCCAUACUCUUUGGGUCAUUUGCUCAUAAAAUAAUGGAGUCACUAUUACUUUAUUAUCGUAUUGUGUGAUCUUCUAAUCAAAGGAUUUUUUUACUGUAUUAAUAGCAGUAAUUCAAAUUGGUAAUGUAAAUUUGAAAAAAUACAGUACCAUUUUCAUGUGUCAUACUGAUGGGACAAAAGUAGCAGCUUGGGCACUUUUCUUUGGGCUUCUUUAUCAUCACUUCUUCUCAUACCAUGACUCUGCUCCAGUGAUAAAGUUCUAUAGUAAUAGGUUGCGAAAUGUAGCUUAAACCAAAAAAGAAUUUUUGAAAAGCACUUCAUUCAGAAAAAGAAAAUAAAUUUGACAUAGUAUGCAUUUUUGAAUAAGAUUCUUCAGAGAGGGAAAAAUUCCUGGACUGCUAUGGAGAAGUACAGGAAUGAAGCACCAACCGAAUGAGUGAAGUUCACUUAAGGUGUGAAGUGGAAAUAUGUAAAAGGGUUUUUAAAAAUUUUUUUUUUUUGUGUAUCAGCAUGCUUUUGCCAAGAACUGACUAUUGGAAUGAUAUUGUGGUUGUAGUAGAUUUAAAAAAACCCAAACAAUUUAAUAAGUAUUUUGGUUGGUAAUUCUGGAGUUGGUAUGUUUUCUCAAAAAGGAGGCUUUUGACUAAACAGAAAACCAUCAAAAAUAAUUCCUAGCUGGAAAUUGAGGACCCUUCUUGUUAUAAGUAACAACAAAAAGAUACAGACUAAGGGAUUAGAGGAAAAUACACAUUUCCCAUAUUGAUUUACUCAGUGAAUUUAACAAUAGCUUGAGUAUAGUUAAUUUCACUUUUCCUGUAUGUAGGCAGUUUUUCGAGGUGAGAGAAACAUCUGAAAAAACCCCCCAACCACAUGGUUAUAAGAUUAUAAAAACUGGUGCAGGGAGCUUGGAGGUGUGAGUUACUACUUUUAAAGUCCUCUGUUAAAAACAAGGCUAGACUCCAUAUUGAUGGAGCGCUUUUAAAGGCAGUGCCCUUUUAAUCAGCAAACAGGUCCUCUGUGCAUCAAAUAAUUAAAAAUAGAGCAAAGUUUCUGAACAAGGCGUCUGGCAGAAGCGUCUGUACUUCCAUCUGUGCAUGAUUAGCAGAAUGUUUCAUGAUAUUUAAAUAGCACAAGCUUUGCUCUCUUUUUUAUUAUUUGUUGUGCUGAAGACCUGUUUGCUUGUUAAGUGGUCUUUUUUGAAUAGUUACUG
rnacentral:lncRNA from 13 species